rnacentral:lncRNA from 1 species
GGCCCCGCCCACGUCAUGGCGCCUGAGGAGAACGCGGGUACCAAACUCUUGCUGCAGAGUUUCGAGCGCCGCUUCCUAGCGGCGCGCACACUGCGCUCCUUCCCCUGGCAGGUGGGCGGCGGGGCGAGCGGAGAGGCCUGCGGGGCUUGCGGAAGUCCAGGGGCAGACGGGAUGGGUCUCCCUGCUGAAACCCCCGGCGCUCCUGCCACAAGCAAAAUUAAGAGACUCAUCAGAUUCUGAGCUGCUGCGGGAUAUUUUGCAGAAGCACGAGGCUGUCCACACGGAGCUUUUGGACGAGCUGUACGAGGCGCUGGCAGAGACCCUGAUGGCCAAGGAGUCCACCCAGGGCCACUGGAGCUAUUUGCUGCCCUCGGAAGGCUCGGUCACACUCUCCGAGCACAGCCAUCAUCUCCCACGGUACCACAGGCCUGGUCACAUGGGACGCUGCCCGCUACCUUGCAGAAUGGGCCAUCAAGAACCUGGCAGCCUUCACUAACAGGUGACCUCGGGGCACAGGGCAGCCGCCAUCUACCUUGCAGAAUGGGUCAUUGAGAACCUGGCAGCCUUCACUAACAGGACUGUCCUAGAGCUUGGCAGUGGCGCCGGCCUUACAGGCCUGUCCAUCUGCAAGAUGUGCCACCCCCGGACAUACAUCUUCAGCGACUGUCACAGCCGGGUCCUCGAGCAGCUCCGAGGGAAUGUCCUUCUCAAUGGCCUCUCAUUAGAGGCAGACAUCACUGCCAACUUAGAUAGCCCCAGGGUGACAGUGGCCCAGCUGGACUGGGAUGUAGCGACGGUCCAUCAGCUCUCUGCCUUCCAGCCAGAUGUUGUCAUUACAGCAGUAACCUGAAGCUUUCACCGUAGACGUGCUGUAUUGCCCAGAAGCCAUCGUGUCCCUGGUCGGGGUCCUGCGGAGGCUGGCUGCCUGCUGGGAGCACCAGCGGGCUCCUGAGGUCUACAUGGCCUUUACCGUCCGCAACCCAGAGACGUGCCAGGUGUUCACCACCGAGCUAGGCUGGGCUGGGAUCAGAUGGGAAGCGGAAGCUCAUCAUGACCAGAAACUGUUUCCCUAUGGAGAGCACUUGGAGAUGGCAAUGCUGAACCUCACACUGUAGGACUCAUACACGACUCCAACGGGAUUGUUAGAAUCAAAUCACUCUCGUGGGAAGAAUUUUUAUAUGGGAAAGCGGAUAAAACUUUCAUUGGACUGGAAUGUUUGGAGAAUGUUAAAUUCCAAAUCAGGAACCACAAUCUGCCCUCUAAUAAGACAUCGGCUAUCUAAGCAUGUGGGUGCCCCCUUUCUGCCAGCAGUUCUGGUUCUUAAGAAAAUCACCAUAAAUCAGACAUGAAAAUUCUGGCUCCAAAAAUAGCAUUUUCUUUGUGCAAAUAAAAACGUGUGUAUCAAG